UAAAAAGGGGUGUUGUAUGCGCAUAUUAGAAUUUGACUCUAGAGGUGAAGAAGCUUUUUCUUUCUUUUUAG
rnacentral:tRNA from 1 species